UACGAAGGGUGCAAACGUUGCUCGGAAUUAUUGGGCGUAAAGCGCACGUAGGCGGCUUUGCAAGUCGGAUGUGAAAUCCCUCGGCUCAACCAAGGAAGUGCAUCCGAAACUGCAGAUCUUGAGUACCGGAGAGGGUGGCGGAAUUCCCCAAGUAGAGGUGAAAUUCGUAGAUAUGGGGAGGAACACCGGUGGCGAAGGUGGCCACCUGGACGGAUACUGACGCUGAGACGCGAAAGCGUGGGUAGCAAACAGG
rnacentral:rRNA from 1 species